GAUGAACGCUGGCGGCGUGCCUAAUACAUGCAAGUCGAGCGAACAGAUGAGGAGCUUGCUCCUCUGACGUUAGCGGCGGACGGGUGAGUAACACGUGGAUAACCUACCUAUAAGACUGGGAUAACUUCGGGAAACCGGAGCUAAUACCGGAUAAUAUAUUGAACCGCAUGGUUCAAUAGUGAAAGACGGUUUUGCUGUCACUUAUAGAUGGAUCCGCGCCGCAUUAGCUAGUUGGUAAGGUAACGGCUUACCAAGGCAACGAUGCGUAGCCGACCUGAGAGGGUGAUCGGCCACACUGGAACUGAGACACGGUCCAGACUCCUACGGGAGGCAGCAGUAGGGAAUCUUCCGCAAUGGGCGAAAGCCUGACGGAGCAACGCCGCGUGAGUGAUGAAGGGCUUCGGAUCGUAAAACGCUGUUAUUAGGGAAGAACAAAUGUGUAAGUAACUAUGCACGUCUUGACGGUACCUAAGCAGAAAGCCACGGCUAACUACGU
rnacentral:rRNA from 1 species